AAACCGUUCAGGGGUAAACCUGAGAAACCCAAAAGUUCAAACGGGGAGAUUCACCGUCAGCGGAGCAGGCUUCGCGGAGGUGCGUGAUGUCGCGGCGACCUCGGUCUCGCUUCACUCGUCCUCUGCGCAUGUCCGGCGACGUCGGCGUGCACUUCUCCUCUAGUAGGACGUCGCGACCCGUUGGGUGCCGGCCUACGGCCUCGGGGUGCAGCCCGUCGCGCCGCUUCGGCGCGCGCGACGGUACGCACAACGGUAUCGGGCCGCCAUUAUUCGACAAGGCGUCGGGCCAGCCGCAAGAGAGUCAGGAUUUCGAAAAGCCGGUGGUAAGUCGGACCUAGCGCCGUCCCCGGACCUGACACUCUGCUGGCCGGCGUGGUCCUCCGACGGGCCGAAACGUGAACGAUACCGGUCAGCGACGCUAUUGCUUUGGGUACUCUCAGGACCCGUCUUGAAACACGGACCAAGGAGUCUAACAUGUGCGCGAGUCAUUGGGACUUGAAAGACCUAAAGGCGAAAUGAAAAUGAAGGUCGGCCUCGCGCCGACCGAGGGAGGAUGGGCCGCGUCACGAUGCGGCUCCGCACUCCCGGGGCGCCUCGUUCUCAUUGCGAGAUGAGGCGCACCCAGAGCGUACACGUUGG
rnacentral:rRNA from 1 species